UCACCAUUUCCCCACCCCCUGGUGACUUUCUCUUCGGGGAGUGGUUUCGACGAAGGGAGGGCGGGAGGUGCCCGCGGGCAGUGCGAGGGGUGCCCCGAACCCGGAACCCUCCGCCUCCCCGACGCUGAUCCCCUCUCCGAGGGAUGGGUCCUUCCCCGUGCAAGGGUCGCGCAAGCCCGGAGCAAUGCCCGGCGUCUUUUGCGGUCCCAGUUACUCCCUGGGAAGCGUUUCAGGGCACCUAAGCUGAUCCUCCAACAUCUGAGAAAUAAAAAGAAGAAGAAACCUGCUUCUCUCCACUGCUUUCAAAAAGUAGUUGAUGGGGUAUUUGCCACCAGCCAAAAACACCUGUUGUCAAGAGUCUGAGGCCAGUGCCUGUGGAGCCUGAGCACCAGAUCACAAAAAUUAUUAUUAUUCUGAUCUAGCAAUGAAUGUUAUUAUAGCAUUUAUUAUGAAAAAUGUACCUUGUCUAUAAUUGGUAACAUAGCAACUAGGUAAAUGGAUUGGAAAAAUACAGUUUACUUAUUGCUAUUAAGUGAUUUUUUUUUUCUGUAUAAGAAAGAGCAGAUUAUGUGGCUAAUACUUGGGAUUACUCAGAAAAAAAAUUAAGCAUGAUUUAAAUAUUUCUUCUCAAGUCUGAAAUUAAGUUGAGAGCUAGGUAUUACUCCAGCAUAGGCUACUUCAGACACCUCAUUUUCCCACAAACAUUUAUAUAAUCAGAAUCUGUUUAUAUUGCUUAAUUUUUCCAACUCCAUCUAAAACUGAAAAUUGACCCAGCCAAAAAGAGUAAGGAGCAAUGACCACACACACAACUCCAUGUCAUUUACCACCAUGGGUAUUCACUCUGCAGGUCCCAGAUAGAGCUUUCAGCCUUUGAUAUCCAAUUCUAGAAAGGCUUGGGAAACCAAGCCUCAAACACUGCAAGGGGAAGCUGGAGUGCUUCUGAUGCUUCUACAUCCAAAAGGGGCCAUAGUACUGUCAUAAAAUAUCCCAUAAUUAGAAUUUAGAGAUGAUGUGUCCUACUUAUUCACUGAUACAUAAUUAACUGAAACACAGAUUGGCCGAUGUUAGUUCUAACACUUCUGAAUUUUUUCUCUUUUACUGCCAAGGCUUGUUCAUAACAGGAAUUGUAGUAACUAAUCUAGUAAAGUUCUUUAGAAGAGCCAGGAAAUAUACAAAUAUCAGUAAAAGUCAUCUCUCACUAGAAGCACUAGCAUGAAUGGGUGAAAUAUGUCAAAAGAUUUUGAUGGCAAAGUUCUUUCUGUUUUCCACAAGACACACAGGAUCAAUCAACACAUUUGCUAGACUUAACCUCUGAUCAUGUUAAAAGAAACCAGAAUGGAAUUUGGGUGUCUGCCUUUGUUAACAGGGGUUUAUGGAAAACAAAUUGGACAUGACUUCCUGUUCCCUGAGACCUUUCACUGUGAAACUUGAUCUGUGGAAUUACAUUGCAUGGUGAAUGCAACACACUUAAUAUAAUGAGAUCAGCCGAUCUCUGGUCAUGGCAACAUUAUAAACCACUCUACGUAACUGUUCAAAAGUCACUCUCUUGCUAGUCUCAUUUUCAUGCUUAAAACCAAUAAAAAAUAAUAUUCUUUAUAUACUCUUAAGUGA
ensembl:lncRNA